CGAUGUGUCUCAGAGUGUUAU
rnacentral:miRNA from 12 species